rnacentral:lncRNA from 1 species
GGUGUCAACAGUGGGAUUCUCUAGCGUGACCCUGACUCACUGAAACAUGAUUUGAGAAGAAGAAUGAGAGGGCUGAGGCUGAAGAACCUUUGACUCCUGAAUGACUACCUGGUCACCUAUGGUAUGGAACUACAGGUUUUAUCUACUACAAAGGAUAUCACUUGGGAAGGAAUUUCUUGAAACUGCUCCCAAGAGAGCCAUUGGACCAUGUGGUAAACAACUCCUAGCUGAUGGAUUAUUGGGAAUAUUAACACCAUCCAGAAUGCUAUGGGGAGAAGACACAACUGGAAGCUCCAUGUGGACAAACCUCCUGGACUCUGCCCCACAUAUCUCUUCCCUUGGCUGAUUUGAAUUUUUAGAAGCUGACAGCUGACACGCCCUUCCCUCGUGCAUUUUAUCCUGGGACAAAAUGAGAAGACAUCCUUCAGUGCCCGUUCUGUAUUCCAACAAAACUACCCAUGCUAGCUGGUCUGAAGAGCCCAGUAGGAAGCUGACCCAUGGAAGAAUGCAGUUUCCACAUCCUGUUGACUUCAUCCCCUUACCAUGACCAAACAAUGACCCCAA